AAUGAAGCCGGGAAACCGGUCCUUCUAACCCUUGAUUAUCAUAAUUUGUUGCUUUGGUAGGCCGCGCAAGCACCGGCUCCGGCUGGUUAGUGCCUACCAGAGAACCACAAACUCCGCAUCAUAGUUAUCGUCUGAGUCUGAUAUAAAUAUCUAAAACUUUCAACAACGGAUCUCUUGGUUCU
rnacentral:misc_RNA from 1 species